UGAGGAAUAUUGCACAAUGGGGGAAACCCUGAUGCAGCGACGCCGCGUGAGCGAAGAAGUAUUUCGGUAUGUAAAGCUCUAUCAGCAGGGAAGAAAAAUGACGGUACCUGACUAAGAAGCACCGGCUAAAUACGUGCCAGCAGCCGCGGUAAUACGUAUGGUGCAAGCGUUAUCCGGAUUUACUGAGUGUAAAGGGAGCGCAGGCGGUACGGCAAGUCUGAUGUGGAAAGCCCACGGGGCUCAACCCCGGGUACUGCAUUGGAAACUGUCGGACUAGAGUGUCGGAGGGGUAAGUGGAAUUCCUAGUGUAGCGGUGAAAUGCGUAGAUAUUAGGAGGAACACCAGUGGCGAAGGCGGCUUACUGGACGAUUACUGACGCUGAGGCUCGAAAAGUGUGGGUAUCAAACAGGAUUAGAUACC
rnacentral:rRNA from 1 species